rnacentral:rRNA from 1 species
AGCGAACGCUGGCGGCAGGCAUAACACAUGCAAGUCGAACGAACCUUUCGGGGUUAGUGGCGGACGGGUGGGUAACACGUGGGAACGUGCCUUUAGGUUCGGAAUAACUCAGGGAGACUUGUGCUAAUACCGCAUGUGCCCUGCGGGGGAAAGAUUUAUCGCCUUUAGAGCGGCCCGCGCCUGAUUAGCUAGUUGGUUGAGGUAAUGGCUCACCAAGGCGACGAUCAGUAGCUGGUCUGAGAGGAUGUUCCGCCACAGUGGGACUGAGACACGGCCCAAACUCCUACGGGACGCAGCAGUGGGGAAUCUUGCGCAAUGGGCGAAAGCCUGACGCAGCCAUGCCGCGUGAAUGAUGAAGGUCUUAGGAUUGUAAAAUUCUUUCACCGGGGACGAUAAUGACGGUACCCGGAGAAGAAGCCCCGGCUAACUUCGUG